CCUACGGGAGGCAGCAGUGGGGAAUAUUGGGCAAUGGGGGAAACCCUGACCCAGCAACGCCGCGUGAGGGAAGAAGGUUUUCGGAUCGUAAACCUCUGUCCUUGGUGAAGAGAAAGAGACGGUAGCCAAGGAGGAAGCCCCGGCUAACUACGUGCCAGCAGCCGCGGUAAU
rnacentral:rRNA from 1 species